GGUGUUACACAAGCGAUGCAGUCUGUCUGGAGGAGGAAGAUAUUGUGAGCGUCUCUUAUCCACACAUACCUUCCCAGAUGCUCCAAACAGUCACAUUAGUGCUGACUCUGAAAGAACUUGUCUGCCCAUCCAUCACCUCUAAGAAGAGGAGGAAGAGGAAGGACACUGAAGUACUGAGGAGGAGGACAGCAUUUGGUGAAGAAGAUGAAAACAAACUUGACAUUUUUUGGAUAGAAAAGGAAUUUAAAAGACUGGUACAGUCUGACCACUGUGAAAUGAACAUGUUGGCUUAGGAAGAGACUAUUUGAGCUGCAGCUGGUAGUGCCAUUCUGGAUGCUUUUUGUGGAGAGUACAGAACUCAGCAUAUCUGACCUUUACCUUGAAUCACCUCAUCAGAAAGAAGUGAGCAAAAAGAAAAAAAAAGAAAAAAGAAAGAAAGAAAGAAAAAGAAAACCC